UACAGAGGUCUCAAGCGUUGUUCGGAUUCAUUGGGCGUAAAGGGCGCGUAGGCGGCGUGGUAAGUCGGAUGUGAAAUCUCGGAGCUUAACUCCGAAACUGCAUUCGAUACUGCCGUGCUUGAGGACUGGAGAGGAGACUGGAAUUUACGGUGUAGCGGUGAAAUGCGUAGAUAUCGUAAGGAAGACCAGUGGCGAAGGCGGGUCUCUGGACAGUUCCUGACGCUGAGGCACGAAGGCCAGGGGAGCGAACAGG
rnacentral:rRNA from 1 species